CUGGCUGCCACACAGGGUUUGGAUGGAGAUUAAUGUCACCUGAGAACUGAUGCCCUGCCAGGGCGAGAGAAACCAUGUCGAGCCAGGGCUCGAUGCUGAGCUCUGGCUGUACCCACAGAGGGGAGAGUCGGGGGUUCUGUUUCCCAUGUGGGGUUGCAGCUGGCAGGGAUACACUGCUCGUAGCGGAGCUGCUUGGCUGUUAUCCUGUCUGCUGGGGACAGCAGUGUGUUCUCGGUCUCCAGUGGGAGAGGACAUACAUGUCACGGCCCUAUCUGAGAUACCACUGUCCCCAAAACUGGGCGUGAAAACCAAGACCUCUGGGAUCCUAAAGGAGUCAUGGGACUUACGGCUCUGGCCGUCCCUGUAGGCGAUGCCCAUAGACUAUGGUGGGGUGCUGGUGCCCUGUGAGAACCUCUGUCUGGUAGCUUGUGAAUGUGGACAUGGGAUGGGACAUAGAUAGGAAGUGGUCAUCUACAUGGGUCACUCACAUCCACUAGAGAGACUGGAACAGGAUGAACACGGGCAGCUGUGCUUGGCUGCUCAGGGGGCACCCAUGUUUAGUCCUGAACCCCAAGAUGGGGUGGUGGUGCUGGGGAGCAAGCGACAGCCCAGCUCCUAGGGUUGGCACCCCAAGGAUGCCAGCUCUGGCACUGUCAAUACACAUUCGAGGUCCCACGCAUGGUGAGCGUCUGCACUGCCUUGGCCUGUUCCUCUCUCUGGCCACCACACCACCUUCUGGACCCAGGAGAAAGGCCUUUCCCCGCAGCCUGGACCUCCUCAAGCAUCACUUCCUGUGGACACGCAGCUGUGCAUCACGUCACCCCAGUGAGCCCCAGCCCGACUUCUUCUGUGGGCUGGCAGCCCAUACCCUGCAGGGCUGGUGCACAGCUAUCAGGAGCAAGGACCCUGGCUACCAAGCGAAGACCGUGAGCUGCUCCUGCCAUCGUGUAACCCUGGGAUGAUAGUGUAGCCAUGUGCAGCGCUCCUCCCAGCAGCUCUGAUGCACACGGCCACCCGCUUAUGUCCCUACCCUGUGGGCUACCCAGCCCUAGGCUGCUUCCCCUGGACACCACAGCUUGGCUCUGGGGAGGAUAGGUUUUGUCCUUAGAUUUUCUGUGGGUGGCCUCGCCAUGGUGAUGUCUUUUUUACCCUAUUAUAAAUUACUUUUUUGCAAUCUUGCUUAAGCCGUUAGACAGAG
rnacentral:lncRNA from 1 species